rnacentral:rRNA from 1 species
AGUGAACGCUGGCGGUAGGCCUAACACAUGCAAGUCGAACGGCAGCACAGUAAGAGCUUGCUCUUACGGGUGGCGAGUGGCGGACGGGUGAGGAAUACAUCGGAAUCUACUUUUUCGUGGGGGAUAACGUAGGGAAACUUACGCUAAUACCGCAUACGACCUACGGGUGAAAGCAGGGGAUCUUCGGACCUUGCGCGAUUGAAUGAGCCGAUGUCGGAUUAGCUAGUUGGCGGGGUAAAGGCCCACCAAGGCGACGAUCCGUAGCUGGUCUGAGAGGAUGAUCAGCCACCCUGGAACGUAGACACGGUCCAGACUCCUACGGGAGGCAGCAGUGGGGAAUAUUGGACAAUGGGCGCAAGCCUGAUCCAGCCAUACCGCGUGGGUGAAGAAGGCCUUCGGGUUGUAAAGCCCUUUUGUUGGGAAAGAAAAGCAGCAGGUUAAUACCCCGCUGUUCUGACGGUACCCAAAGAAUAAGCACCGGCUAACUUCGUG